rnacentral:rRNA from 1 species
GACGAACGCUGGCGGCGUGCCUAAUACAUGCAAGUCGAACGCAGGGGGGACAGGUGAGUAACACGUGGGUAACCUCCCAUCAGAGGGGAUAACACUUGGAAACUGGUGCUAAACCGAUACUGAUGGAUGGACUCGGGUUGCAUUAGCUUGUUGGUGAGGUAACGGCUCACCAAGGCCACGAGGCAUAGCUGGUCUGAGAGGGUGAUCGGCCACACUGGGACUGAGACACGGCCCAGACUCCUACGGGAGGCAGCAGUAGGGAAUCGUUGGCAAUGGGCGAAAGUCUGACGGAGCAAGGCCGCGUGAGUGAAGAAGGGUUUCGGAUCGUAAAAUUCUUUUGUUAGAGAAGCGGUACCUAACCAGAAAGCCACGGCUAACUACGUGCCAGCAGCCGCGGUAAUUC